rnacentral:rRNA from 1 species
UGGGGAAUAUUGCACAAUGGGCGCAAGCCUGAUGCAGCCAUGCCGCGUGUGUGAAGAAGGCCUUCGGGUUGUAAAGCACUUUCAGCGAGGAGGAAGGUGGUGAGCUUAAUACGCUCAUCAAUUGACGUUACUCGCAGAAGAAGCACCGGCUAACUCCGUGCCAGCAGCCGCGGUAAUACGGAGGGUGCAAGCGUUAAUCGGAAUUACUGGGCGUAAAGCGCACGCAGGCGGUUUGUUAAGUCAGAUGUGAAAAUCCCCAGGCUCAACCUGGGAACUGCAUUUGAAACUGGCAAGCUAGAGUCUCGUAGAGGGGGGUAGAAUUCCAGGUGUAGCGGUGAAAUGCGUAGAGAUCUGGAGGAAUACCGGUGGCGAAGGCGGCCCCCUGGACGAAGACUGACGCUCAGGUGCGAAAAGCGUGGGGAGCAAAACAGGAUUAGAUACCCUGGUAGUCCACGCUGUAAAACGAUGUCGAUUUUGGAGGUUGUGCCCUUGAGGCGUGGCUUCCGGAGCUAACGCGUUAAAUCGACCGCCUGGGGAGUACGGCCGCAAGGUU